UACUUGCCGGCGACCGGCGCACGGGUGCGUAACGCGUAUGCAACUUACCAUUAACUGGAGGAUAGCCCCUCGAAAGAGGGAUUAAUACUCCAUAGUAUUAUGAAAAGGCAUCUUUUUAUAAUUAAAGCUCCGGCGGUUAAUGAUGGGCAUGCGUGACAUUAGCUAGUUGGUGAGGUAACGGCUCACCAAGGCAACGAUGUCUAGGGGAUCUGAGAGGACUAACCCCCACACUGGUACUGAGACACGGACCAGACUCCUACGGGAGGCAGCAGUAAGGAAUAUUGGUCAAUGGAGGCAACUCUGAACCAGCCAUGCCGCGUGAAGGAUGAAGGCCCUAUGGGUCGUAAACUUCUUUUGUACGGGAAAAAACCCUUUUACGUGUAAGAGGUUGAUGGUACCGUAAGAAUAAGGAUCGGCUAACUCCGUGCCAGCAGCCGCGGUAAUACGGAGGAUCCAAGCGUUAUCCGGAUUCAUUGGGUUUAAAGGGUGCGUAGGCGGCUUAUUAAGUCAGCGGUGAAAGCCUGGAGCUUAACUCCAGAACUGCCAUUGAUACUGAUGAGCUUGAGUACACUUGAAGUGGGCGGAAUGUGUCGUGUAGCGGUGAAAUGCUUAGAUAUGACACAGAACACCGAUUGCGAAGGCAGCUCACUAAAUUGUAACUGACGCUGAUGGACGAAAGCGUGGGUAGCGAACAGGAUUAGAUACCCUGGUAGUCCACGCCGUANACGAUGGAUACUAGCUGUUGGAAGCAAUUUCAGUGGCUAAGCGAAAGUGAUAAGUAUCCCACCUGGGGAGUACGUUCGCAAGAAAUGAACUCAAAGGAAUUGA
rnacentral:rRNA from 1 species